rnacentral:rRNA from 1 species
CCCUUAACCUACCCUUGACAUGUCUGGAAUCCCGAAGAGAUUUGGGAGUGCUCGCAAGAGAACCGGAACACAGGUGCUGCAUGGCUGUCGUCAGCUCGUGUCGUGAGAUGUUGGGUUAAGUCCCGCAACGAGCGCAACCCUUGUCAUUAGUUGCUACGAAAGGGCACUCUAAUGAGACUGCCGGUGACAAACCGGAGGAAGGUGGGGAUGACGUCAAGUCCUCAUGGCCCUUAUGGGUAGGGCUUCACACGUCAUACAAUGGUCGGGACAGAGGGCUGCCAAGCCGCGAGGUGGAGCCAAUCCCAGAAACCCGAUCGUAGUCCGGAUUGCAGUCUGCAACUCGACUGCAUGAAGUCGGAAUCGCUAGUAAUCGCGGAUCAGAAUGUCGCGGUGAAUACGUUCCCGGGUCUUGUACACACCGCCCGUCACACCAUGGGAGUGGGUUUCACCAGAAGUAGGUAGCCUAACCGUAAGGGGGGCGCUUACCACGGUGGGAUUCAUGACUGGGGUGAAGUCGUAACAAGGUAAGCGUAGUGCU